UAACACAUGCAAGUCGAACGGGUUCUUCGGAACCAGUGGCGGACGGGUGAGUAACACGUGAGAACCUGCCUUCCGGAGGGGGAUAACAGCGGGAAACUGCUGCUAAUACCCCAUAAGCCGAGAGGUGAAAGGUCAGCCGCCGGGAGAGGGGCUCGCGUCCGAUUAGUUCGUUGGUGGGGUAAGAGCUCACCAAGGCAGCGAUCGGUAGCCGUUUUGAGAGGAAGAACGGCCACACUGGGACUGAGACACGGCCCAGACUCCUACGGGAGGCAGCAGUGGGGAAUCUUCCGCAAUGGGCGCCAGCCUGACGGAGCCAGACCGC
rnacentral:rRNA from 1 species